CCUACGGGAGGCAGCAGUGAGGAAUAUUGGUCAAUGGCCGGAAGGCUGAACCAGCCAUGCCGCGUGAAGGUCAGUGCCCUAUGGGCGUUAAACUUCUUUUGUGCGGGAGCAAUAAUGGUCACGUGUGGCCAGACGAGAGUACCGUACGAAUAAGCAUCGGCUAACUCCGUGCCAGCAGCCGCGGUAAUACGGGGGAUGCAAGCGUUAUCCGGAUUUAUUGGGUUUAAAGGGUGCGUAGGCUGUGAGGUAAGUCAGCGGUGAAAUGCCCCCGCUCCACGGGGUGAAGUGCCAUUGAUACUGGCUGGCUGGAAUGCGGAUGCAGUGGGAGGAAUGUGUGGUGUAGCGGUGAAAUGCAUAGAUAUCACACAGAACACCGAUUGCGAAGGCAUCUCACGAGUCCGCGAUUGACGCUGAUGCACGAAAGCGUGGGUAUCAAACAGGAUUAGAUACCCCAGUAGUC
rnacentral:rRNA from 1 species